rnacentral:misc_RNA from 1 species
UUUGUCGUCGUUGUCUUCUUCUUCCAUUUUUCUUCUUCUUCCCUCCGCAAUCGAGGAGCUCGAAGGGCUCGCCGAAUCGAACGAUUUUUGCAAUCUUCCAUGGCUGUUUCUCAAGCAAGUCUUCUCCUUCAGAAGCAGCUUAAAGAUCUCUGCAAGAAUCCUGUCGAUGGAUUCUCCGCUGGUCUAGUGGAUGAGAGCAAUAUAUUUGAAUGGAGCGUUACGAUUAUUGGUCCACCUGAUACGCUUUAUGAGGGGGGUUUCUUUAAUGCCAUUAUGAGUUUUCCAUCAAAUUAUCCAAAUAGUCCUCCUUCCGUGAAGUUUACUUCUGAGAUAUGGCAUCCUAAUGUUUAUCCUGAUGGGCUUGUUUGUAUUUCAAUCCUUCAUCCUCCUGGUGAUGAUCCUAAUGGCUAUGAACUUGCUAGUGAGCGUUGGACCCCUGUUCAUACGGUUGAAAGCAUAGUUUUGAGUAUUAUAUCAAUGCUAUCGAGCCCAAAUGAUGAAUCACCUGCAAAUGUUGAGGCUGCUAAGGAAUGGCGGGACAGGAGGGAAGAUUUCAAGAAAAAGGUAAGCCGCUGCGUGAGGAAGUCACAGGAAAUGUUAUGAGGAAAAGCCGGUGGCAAGUGCAACUUUCGGUUUGUCUCUGCUUUUUGUGGCAAGUGGGUGUUUAAAUUUUACCUUUGCUAAGAGGACUUCACCUGUUCACUUGGUGCCAGUGGGUCUUGUAGAACGUCAUUGGAGCUGUCACCCAUAUAUUUUACUCU